rnacentral:rRNA from 1 species
GAUGAACGCUGGCGGCGUGCUUAACACAUGCAAGUCGAACGGAAAGGCCCAAGCUUGCUUGGGUACUCGAGUGGCGAACGGGUGAGUAACACGUGGGUGAUCUGCCCUGCACUUCGGGAUAAGCCUGGGAAACUGGGUCUAAUACCGGAUAGGACCACAUUUUGGAUGGUGUGGUGGAAAGUUUUUCGGUGUGGGAUGAGCUCGCGGCCUAUCAGCUUGUUGGUGGGGUAAUGGCCUACCAAGGCGUCGACGGGUAGCCGGCCUGAGAGGGUGUACGGCCACAUUGGGACUGAGAUACGGCCCAGACUCCUACGGGAGGCAGGAGGGGGGAAUAUUGCACAAUGGGCGCAAGCCUGAUGCAGCGACGCCGCGUGGGGGAUGACGGCCUUCGGGUUGUAAACUCCUUUCGCUAGGGACGAAGCGCAAGUGACGGUACCUGGAGAAGAAGCACCGGCUAACUACGUG